CCCCUUUUCCUCGGGGAUGCGAAGACGGGUCGGGCAGAGGUGAUUCACCGACUUCCCUGUGUGAAGGAAGAGCCCCACGGCAGGACGAGCCGGACCCCAGAACCGGGUCAGCCCCUCGCGUGCCUCAGCCGGGCGGUCCGGAGGUUCGGGCCAGCCACAGCCACCGCGGGCGGCCGCGAGAAGCGCUCGCCGAGCGCAGGUGGGGCGGCGGAGAGCGAGGGGCGCUGGGCGGGCGCUGAACGCGCUGUGCCGGACCCGGACCGGCUCCGCCGGGGCUCCCGGACGGCAUCACCCAUCGCUCCCGGACGGCAUCACCCAUCGCUCCCGGACGGCAUCGCCCAUCGCUCCCGGACGGCAUCGCCCAUCGCUCUCGGACGGCAUCGCCCAUCGCUCCCGGACGGCAUCGCCCAUCGCUCUCGGACGGCAUCGCCCAUCGCUCCCGGACGGCAUCGCCCAUCGCUCUCGGACGGCAUCGCCCAUCGCUCCCGGACGGCAUCGCCCAUCGCUCUCGGACGGCAUCGCCCAUCGCUCCCGGACGGCAUCGCCCAUCGCUCUCGGACGGCAUCGCCCAUCGCUCCCGGACGGCAUCGCCCAUCGCUCUCGGACGGCAUCGCCCAUCGCUCCCGGACGGCAUCGCCCAUCGCUCUCGGACGGCAUCGCCCAUCGCUCCCGGACGGCAUCGCCCAUCGCUCUCGGACGGCAUCGCCCAUCGCUCCCGGACGGCAUCGCCCAUCGCUCUCGGACGGCAUCGCCCAUCGCUCCCGGACGGCAUCGCCCAUCGCUCUCGGACGGCAUCGCCCAUCGCUCCCGGACGGCAUCGCCCAUCGCUCUCGGACGGCAUCGCCCAUCGCUCCCGGACGGCAUCGCCCAUCGCUCUCGGACGGCAUCGCCCAUCGCUCCCGGACAGCAUCGUCCAUCGCUCCCGGACGGCAUCGCCCAUCGCUCUCGGACGGCAUCGCCCAUCGCUCCCGGACAGCAUCGUCCAUCGCUCCCGGACGGCAUCGCCCAUCGCUCUCGGACGGCAUCGCCCAUCGCUCCCGGACAGCAUCGUCCAUCGCUCCCGGACGGCAUCGCCCAUCGCUCUCGGACGGCAUCGCCCAUCGCUCCCGGACAGCAUCGUCCAUCGCUCCCGGACGGCAUCGCCCAUCGCUCUCGGACGGCAUCGCCCAUCGCUCCCGGACAGCAUCGUCCAUCGCUCCCGGACGGCAUCGCCCAUCGCUCUCGGACGGCAUCGCCCAUCGCUCCCGGACAGCAUCGUCCAUCGCUCCCGGACGGCAUCGCCCAUCGCUCUCGGACGGCAUCGCCCAUCGCUCCCGGACAGCAUCGUCCAUCGCUCCCGGACGGCAUCGCCCAUCGCUCUCGGACGGCAUCGCCCAUCGCUCCCGGACAGCAUCGUCCAUCGCUCCCGGACGGCAUCGCCCAUCGCUCUCGGACGGCAUCGCCCAUCGCUCCCGGACAGCAUCGUCCAUCGCUCCCGGACGGCAUCGCCCAUCG
ensembl:lncRNA